ACUCCUACGGGAGGCAGCAGUGGGGAAUAUUGCACAAUGGGCGCAAGCCUGAUGCAGCAACGCCGCGUGAGGGACGACGGCCUUCGGGUUGUAAACCUCUUUUAGCAGGGAAGAAGCGAAAGUGACGGUACCUGCAGAAAAAGCACCGGCUAACUACGUGCCAGCAGCCGCGGUAAUACGUAGGGUGCAAGCGUUGUCCGGAAUUAUUGGGCGUAAAGAGCUCGUAGGCGGUUUGUCACGUCUGCUGUGAAAUCCCGAGGCUCAACCUCGGGCUUGCAGUGGGUACGGGCAGACUAGAGUGCGGUAGGGGAGAUUGGAAUUCCUGGUGUAGCGGUGGAAUGCGCAGAUAUCAGGAGGAACACCGAUGGCGAAGGCAGAUCUCUGGGCCGUAACUGACGCUGAGGAGCGAAAGCAUGGGGAGCAAACAGGCUUAGAUACCCUGGUAGUCCAUGCCGUAAACGUUGGGAACUAGAUGUGGGGACCAUUCCACGGUGUCCGUGUCGUAGCUAACGCAUUAAGUUCCCCGCCUGGGGAGUACGGCCGCAAGGCUAAAACUCAAAGGAAUUGACGGUGGCCCGCACAAGCGGCGGAGCAUGCGGAUUAAUUCGAUGCAACGCGAAGAACCUUACCAAGGCUUGACAUAUACGAGAACGCACUGGAGACAGUGAACUCUUUGGACACUCGUAUAC
rnacentral:rRNA from 1 species